AUAACACAUGUUCGAAUUCUUACACUGAGUGGAUGGAGUCCUUUUGAUGCAGCGAUUGGACCGACGCUGUCCACAAGACCUUCAACCUUUCUAUUCCAUGAAUUAAAAGAGUUAUGGUGGAUUGAUAACUCCCUGGACAAAUACGACAUUUAUGCUCAGCUUUCCUUCCUGAAAUUAUGUCCUUCCUUGGAGAAACUCUUCAUAACUAUUGAUCCUAGAAGCUAUGGCACACCAAGCAGAAGUGAAUGCCAAGUGAAGUAGCUGGAUUUAAAAGAUUGCGUCAUCUUAAAGUUGUUAAAUUGGAGGGAGCAAUGAAUGAAGAGGACAAGGUUUCAUUGAUAGAGUUAGUGAGUGUGGAACCAUUAAUCGUAGCAAAAUCACAUGAAAGUCGGAUAUGCAGAUUGGC